rnacentral:tRNA from 1 species
GGGGCGUAGCGCAGGCUGGUAGCGCGCAAGUUUUGGGUACUUGAGGUCCCCGGUUCGAAUCCGGG